rnacentral:rRNA from 1 species
AACAGGAUUAGAUACCCUGGUAGUCCACGCCGUAAACGAUGAGUGCUAGGUGUUGGGGGUUUCCGCCCUCUGUGCCGAAGGUAACCCAAUAAGCACUCCGCCUGGGGAGUACGGCCGCAAGGCUGAAACUCAAAGGAAUUGACGGGGGCCCGCACAAGCGGUGGAGCAUGUGGUUUAAUUCGAAGCAACGCGAAGAACCUUACCAGGUCUUGACAUCCCGCUGAUCGGUGUAGAGAUAUGCCUUUCCUUCGGGACAGCGGUGACAGGUGGUGCAUGGUUGUCGUCAGCUCGUGUCGUGAGAUGUUGGGUUCAGUCCCGCAACGAGCGCAACCCUUGUCGUCAGUUGCCAGCACGUAAAGGUGGGCACUCUGGCGAGACGGCCGGUGAAAGCCGGAGGAAGGUGGGGAUGACGUCAAAUCAUCAUGCCCCUUAUGUCCUGGGCUACACACGUGCUACAAUGGCCGGUACAACGGGUAGCGAACCCGCGAGGGGGAGCCAAUCCAAAAAACCGGUCUCAGUUCGGAUCGCAGGCUGCAACUCGCCUGCGUGAAGCUGGAAUCGCUAGUAAUCGCGGAUCAGCAUGCCGCGGUGAAUCCGUUCCCGGGCCUUGUACACACCGCCCGUCACACCACGAGAGUCUGCAACACCCGAAGUCGGUGAGGUAACCUUCGGGAACCAGCCGCCGAAGGUGGGGCAGAUGAUUGGGGUGAAGUCGUAACAAGGUAACC